rnacentral:rRNA from 1 species
GACGAACGCUGGCGGCGUGCUUAACACAUGCAAGUCGAACGGAAAGGCCCUGCUUUUGUGGGGUGCUCGAGUGGCGAACGGGUGAGUAACACGUGAGUAACCUGCCCUUGACUUUGGGAUAACUUCAGGAAACUGGGGCUAAUACCGGAUAGGAGCUCCUGCUGCAUGGUGGGGGUUGGAAAGUUUCGGCGGUUGGGGAUGGACUCGCGGCUUAUCAGCUUGUUGGUGGGGUAGUGGCUUACCAAGGCUUUGACGGGUAGCCGGCCUGAGAGGGUGACCGGCGACAUGGGGACUGAGAGACGGAGCAGACUCGUACGGGAGGCAGCAGUGGGGAAUAUUGCACAAUGGGCGGAAGCCUGAUGCAGCAGCGCCGCGUGCGGGAUGACGGCCUUCGGGUUGUAAACAGAUUUCGCAUGUGACGAAGAGUGAGUGACGGUAAUGGGUAAAGAAGCACCGGCUAACUACGUG